rnacentral:lncRNA from 1 species
GUGACACAAACCCGAUCUGCGCGGCCUUGGUGUCACUUCAGGGUGCAUCAACACCAAGGAAACUCAGGGAUGCAAUGAAGUUUAUUCCCCUGCUAGCCGAUCAACCCUAAAAUACCAUGUGUGGAUUGCCGGCCACAGAGCCGGGUGCUUCCUGCUGCUGGCAUUGUUGUGCUGCAAACAUCAACUGUUUGGAGUGUGGUAGCUGAACACCUCUCUGAGGUACGAACUAUCAGAGUCACUUUUCAGGUGAAUAAAACUAAAAUACAAGGAACUCAUGUCACUUUCCCUGCCACACACGGGUAGUUGAGAAGCAGAAGUGGGAUGCAAAAUUCUCCGUUCUUAUUCCCUAGGGGAGGUAGACUCUCUCUCUGGGAUAUUUUUCUAAGACUGAAUCUCAUCCUAACUAGAAGCCCAUUUCUGCUACAUUAAAGAAAAUUCACCUCCAUCAGGAAACCCUGUCACCCACUUUUCCCUAGGGGUACUUAAAUACGGCUUUGGGGUCCAGUGGCAGUGGGAAUCUGGCCCUGGCCAUCAGACCACAUAAGCUGUUGCCACUUUGAUCCUGUAAAUCACAUUCAAGCCUGACUCUUCACAGGAACCCUUGAGUGUCUGAGAAACCCUAGCCAACUCCAUGGCUGCUGGUUUUGGGAGCUGUGAGGCCAUCAGCAGGGGAUGAGUGUUGAGGGGAAAGAGAGCUUCCCCAAAGGCCUUCAGCAAUGUCUUAUGUGAGACAGUCCAGGCUCCUGCCUGGUUCCAAGCCAAUUUUGCUGAAAGCCUUUUCAGUGUGGAUUUUUUCCAGAAGGUCACAGGGACUCUGAAAAUACUUUGAAAGCAGUGAUUUGCUUGAAGGGCAGUAAGAAAAUGAUGGGAGGAUGGGCCAGUGGAGGAGGAGGAAGAGAAAAGUGUUGCACCUAGUGAGAAAGAACCAACCAGAGACCGAUAUUAAAUCCACAUAGGAGUUUAUUACCACCCAGGACCCGAGCCGAGCAUCAGACUCGAGCCCCGACUCGGGGGAGAUUAACAUAUUUUGUACACCUUUGAGGCCAGCUGUUUCUAGGCCCCCCUAUGGGAUAGAACUAGCAAAGCAAGUAAAAGGUACAGAAGUGGAACGUCCUGUCAUUAGAACAUUUGUAAAACAAUAGUUGAUUAAUUGUUGUUUCUAAGAGACUCUCUAAGGGGAGGAGAUUUCUAAGCUUCCUCCUUUUGAGUUCAUCUAAAGGCAGGCAGGUGGGUCAUUCAGCAGCAAUAUGGAGUCUGUCUUGGUAACUAGGGUCCUUCAAAAAGGGGCAGCUACUGAAACAUCACACAUCGCCAUGGGAUGCGCUGCUUUCCUGGUACCAUUGCCAUCCACAGCCUCACUGCCACCUCCACCACCAUUCCCUGCUUGCUCUGUGCUGGCACUGUGCAUGGAGCCCACACACACUUUCUCUAGUCACAGGCUCAGGGAGCAGCCACAGCAGCCUAGGGGCAGGCAGCUUCCCCAGACAGGAAACGCCAGCUCCCAGGAGCUGCCUGCCACCUCACCUGCCUCACUUAUUUAGGGUGUACAGGCCCCACAGGCACUGCCAUGGACGGAUCUGCUGCGUUGCUGCCAACCAGCCUCAGGCCACAUUGAUAGGCACAGCACGUCUAUCCCUGCACGUAGUUCUGAUGCAUCUGCCCAGGCAUGGACACCAAGCAGGAGCCUUCAGAAUUCACCGAAGCAGAUUGGGCAGGGUCGCCUUGGCUGCCAGAAUUACUCCUUUCCCUGUAGACCGGUGGUAACUCAGUUCUGCUUCUUCCCCUUGAUGCUGUCUCCACUAGACACAGGAUGGGUGGAUGACUCUUCCUAAACAGUCGCCCCUCCCCAAUAUCCCAAAUAAGAUAAUCAUGAAGAUCCCCAGCUGCUCUUUUGCCUAACCUUUUAUCCUAAAGUUUUGAAAAAAGAAGAGUCCGGUAAAGUAUUUUCUAUUUUCCAAAUAAGGUUAUUCAUUUAGACACUGACAGCCAUUAGUGCAUCAUUAUAAAUUAAUAUACCAGAUUAAUCAAUUUAG